rnacentral:rRNA from 1 species
GUGGGGAAUAUUGGGCAAUGGGGGCAACCCUGACCCAGCAACGCCGCGUGAGGGAAGAAGGUUUUCGGAUUGUAAACCUCUGUCCUAUGGGAAGAAGGAAGUGACGGUACCAUAGGAGGAAGCCCCGGCUAACUACGUGCCAGCAGCCGCGGUAAUACGUAGGGGGCGAGCGUUGUCCGGAAUUACUGGGCGUAAAGGGUGCGCAGGUGGCCUGACAAGUCAGAUGUGAAAUACCGAUGCUUAACGUCGGGGCUGCAUUUGAAACUAUGAGGCUGGAGUGCAGGAGAGGGAAGCGGAAUUCCUAGUGUAGCGGUGAAAUGCAUAGAUAUUAGGAGGAACACCAGUGGCGAAGGCGGCUUUCUGGACUGUGUCUGACGCUGAGAUGCGAAAGCCAGGGUAGCGAACGGGAUUAGAAACCCUGGUAGUCC